ensembl:miRNA cpo-mir-149 cpo-mir-149
GGCUCUGGCUCCGUGUCUUCACUCCCGUGUCUGUCCGAGGAGGGAGGGAGGGACGGGGGCUGUGCU